rnacentral:lncRNA from 1 species
GUGUGAUCUGAGAGGAUGCGUCUGGAGUAAGCCGGGAGAUGUGAUUCGGAGGGACGUUUGAAGAAGUUGGCUUGGCUGAUCCGUGGGUUAAGGAUGAACUCGGAACAAGAUGAGAGCUGGUAGAUCUUAGAGGUUUGGGAUGUUGGAUUUGGUUCGGUUGUUAGCUUUGUUUCAGAACAGGGGAAGAGGACUAAUCCGUGGGUGAUGAAGUUAAUCCGGAUGUUGGCUUGGCUUGGAAGGACAGUGACGUGGAUGGGAGGAAGAAACGGAUUCAUGAAGGAAAGUUGAGGAAGAAACAGAUGCGCUUGGGAUGUUGAUCCACGGGAUACUUGGACGCGGAGGGGAUGAAGCUGGGACGGCUAGGAGAUAAACCGGAAGAAAAGGAUGGCUUGAAAACGAUGGAUACGGCUGAGAACAGAGGAGUUUGUUCGUGGGGAUCUCGACUGAGAGAUGGAAUACAAUCCAUGAACCGAGAGGAUCUCGGCUGGGAGGAGAUCUUUGGACGCCGUGUUUGCUGGUCCGUGAGGUUCGGGAGGAUGAAGUUGCAUCAUGGGAUGAAUGCGGUUGCUGGGUUCAUGCGGACGGAAGGGAGGAUGAAGUUGAGGAGGGAUUUGCGGACGUUGGGACUUGAUGGAUGCUGAAAGGGAUGAAGGCGGAUAAGAUUGGGAAGGAUGACACGAUUGGAACGAAUCUGGGAGGUGAUCUAAUCUGGGAGAUGAUCCAAAAGAUGAAGCUUGGGGACUCGGCUGAGAGCUGGGAUAGCUUGCGGUUGAGAUGAACUUGAAUAUGGCUUGGUUCGUGGGAGAGCAAUGGGCGUGUGGGAUGAUGUGUGAAUGGUCGCCUGCGAAGCAUGGGACUGGCUUUAUUUUGAGGACCCAAUUUUGUUCGUGGACCCGAACGACAUGCAUACAAGCUGAGGAUUGAUUCAUGGAUAUGAUAAGAAGGAGACAGCUGGUGUAUAUGAAUGUGACGUGUGAGGAAAGAAAAUUGGAACAUGGACGAGAGACUAAUCCACACGUGGGUGACAUGGGAAUUGAUGGGACUAAUUUGUGAACGGAAUAUGGUAGAAUUUGACUGGACCUGCACACAUUAGACUCAUUCAGUAAAUAAAUAAGUAAAACUUGAAUUACCUUUAAUAACUUAUUAAAAUGCAAUGAUGAAGGUAACAUUUUUUAGUUAAAUUUACAAAAUAUGUAAAUUAAAAUAAUGAUAAGUGCUAUAAAUAAGAUAUUAAUUUAUGCAUUAUUUAGCACUUAUCACACCCCCCAACCUACAUUUUGCUAGUCCUCGAGCAAAAUAAAAAAACUAACUCACUUUCACAGGAAUCGCGUUUGCAUUUACCAUAUGCAAUAAGGCUUUAAACCCCUAGGUGGCUCUAGUGGACGAGUUUUGUCUCGUGAGGAUUUCCGGCUCAGAUACCCACAAACUGAUGUCUCUACCCAAAAGAAUUUAUUUUACUGUUUUAUAAAAUCAAAUUUCGAAUGCAUAAGUGCCAAAAAUUUCAAAAGCACACAAAGUUUUAAUUACUAAAUCAGCCCAAAUCCUAGGUCAGGAUGCAAUUCAAGUUGAAAUCAUUAAAUUUCCGUUAGGGAGUUGUAAGACUUUUAUACUUGGGUGCUCGGUGAAAUCUGGACCAUACACAAGCUAAGGCUUUAAAUUUUCCAAAAUACUGCUAAAGCUAGUAGUUUCCAAGAAUUGGUCAGAUAAGACCUAAUCACUGAUUCAAAAUCAUCCUAUCUUGCAGGAUUUCGAGAGUUGGGGAUGUUUACUUUAAUACCUCAUGGGCUUUAUCUGUAAUAUUCCAGUUUACUCGAAUUUUUUACAACGACGGCUUUCACACUAUCAUUUUUUUCAAGGUCAAUAUUAUUUUCUCUCUUCUUUUUUUUUAUUUAUUAUUAUUUUUUUAUUUGUUAUUAUGCACUUUUACUCUUGUAAUGAUUCCUCCGUGUAGCGAGCAUUCAGUCAACAACUUCCACACUAGAUGGCAUAAGGUGUUAGGCAUCAAGAUUCCCCUACGGACCUAUGCUCGGGUUCCUUAUACAAGCCCGCUGACCUUUGACAAUAGGUAGCCCUUUUCGAUGUACCUGACUGAAUUCACUCUCUUUUUUUUAAAAAAAUAAAUAUGGGAUAAUAUUGAAUUAGAUAGGUAUGAUUCAUCAGGACUCAAGGUUGCUGCCAGACUUAACAACAUAAUGUUGAACCUAACCUUUAGAAGUGCAGGCCAUGUGUGUUGUGAAAUUCCAAAGUAAAAAUUAUCUUACAACUCACUAAAAGAACUUUUAAUGAAAAGAACUGAAAUUGACUUACUCCUGACUAGUUAUUGGGCUUUUUUAGAUUUUAUAUACUUUAUAUGUUUAUCAUUUCAGCACUAAAGCAUAGAAAUUAGUUUUUUUUGGUUUUUUUUGAGAUGAAAUAUUUGAAAAUAUGAAAAAAAAUUUCAAAAAUUCGAAUCCUAUACCCCCCAACCUAGACCAGACAUUGUCCUUAAUAUAUUUUUUAUUUUUAUUUUUUUAAUAAUAUUAUAUUAUUAUUUUUAUUUUUAUUAUUUUUAUUUUGGACGAAAAUAUGAUGCAUAUGAAGGAUAAAAGCAUUUUACCGUAGUUGCAUCAGUAAUAUGAGUGAUCCUGUUAAACAUUGAAAAAUACAAUAAGUAAAAUGCAAAAAUGAACUACGAAAAUUGGGUUGCCUCCCAACAAGCGCUAAGUUUAACGUCUUCAGCUAGACGCAACGCAUCCUUAUCAAAUCAUACCAGGUUCAUGCCGAGUUCUCCAAGGAAGAAAAUUUAUGGAAAACUAAUUGUCGGGCAAGAAGUUGACUGCUUCUAUGGCUUUGUCAAAGUCAAAAUGGGCCAAGCAUGUUUUCAGAGGGUUAUCUGCCAAAAUAUAGGAAAGUGCUUCUUCUACAAGAUCAUCCAUUUUGUCUAUUAGGAAGCACUCAACUUUCCUCGCGGGUUGGUCGGCCGUAUUGAACACAUUUAAUUUUACCUUCAUGUUCCCAAAUGAUAUGUUCAUUACCCCUGUUCUACAAUUGAUGCACGUAUUGGCUGUUGCUAAAAAGGGGCGCCCAAGGAUCACGGGAAUUUGUUUCUUAGGAUUAGGCUCAUGUUCCAUAUCAAGGACGAUAAAAUCUACUGGAAAAUAGAAUUUGUCUACCUUGACAAGAACAUCUUCAAUUAUCCCACGUGGUGUUUUUACAGAUCGAUCAGCCAAUUGAAGGGAUACCGAGGUUGGUUUUAACUCACCUAACCCAAGUUUCUCAUAAACUGAGUAAGGUAAAAAGUUGACACUUGUCCCUAGAUCUAAGAAUGCUUGAUCAAUGAAAUUAUUUUCUAAGACACAAGAGAUAGUGGGAGCACCAGGAUCUUUGAAUUUUGGAGGGGUGUUGUGUUGGAGAAUAGAACUCACUUGCUCAGUUAGGAAGAUUUUUUUAGGCACAUGUAUCCUAGAUCUUCGCUUUUAGGUACAAAGGUCUUUGAGAAAUUUGGCAUAAGAGGAAACUUGUCUAAUAGCAUCAAAAAGUGGAAGGUUGAUUUUAACUUGUUUGAAAACCUCUAUCAUCUCCUCUAAUGAAGUUCCCUUUUUGCCAAAGGGAAAGGGUGAAUUAAGAGCUUCAGAAAAUGGGGCCUUUGGAAUGUGAGUUGUGGCAGAUGGUGGACUAGCUGAAGAAGAAGAAGGUUUUAGAUUUUCAUGUGAUACAUUUCUCUCCUCUUCUUUACUUUCCUUAUUGCUAUCCUCCCCAAUCUUAUUGUCUACUACACGUCCACUCCUUAGGGUAGUCAAAGCAUUGGCUUGUUCAUGAUGAAUUGUAUUUAUUUGAUUUUCUUGAGCCAUGUAUUGUCCCCUAGGAUUACUCACUGGUUGGCUUGGAAGCUUUCCUUCCUCUCGCUUUUUCAAUGCAUUAGCUAGUUGCCCCAUUUGGGAUUCUAGCUUGGCGAUAGAUUGCGUGUGAGAGUGCACCAAUUGUGUAAUGGUUUCCAAACCUUGAAGGGAGGUCAACACUUUCUCCUCAAAGACUGUGUUUCUUUGGGGUGCUGGAGGAGGGACAUGUUGAAAUUGUGAAUAGUGAGUAGGAGAACGGUUCAGAUGAACAUUCUGGAACGGUUGAAAAUUUUGGGAAUAAGGCUAGGAGGUAUUGGGAGUCUGCUGCUUCCAAGAAAAGUUUGGAUGGUUGCGCCACCCCGGGUUAAAAGUGUUAGAAAACGGAUCAUUACUCGGUCGAGACUGUGCUUGGACAGCAUUAACUUGUUCUUGCACAAAUUCAGAGAAUUGAGCUGCUGAAGGGCAUUCAUGAAUAGGGUGAGAUGGGCUAGAACAAAGAGCACAAACUUGUGCUUGGGGAAAGUUUGGAAGUUGUUCUCUAUACAUUAGCUGGUCUAAUUUGCGGGACAGUGCAUCUACUUUGUCGGAUAGACCUAUGGACUGGUUAACUUCAUAUAUGGUCCCUUUUCUUUGAGAACUCGAGGGUGCUUGACGAGCGGAGGAGGCAUGGUGGAGGAAAUUUUUAUUAAGAUUCUCAAACAAUUGCCAUGCCUCAUGUUCAUUUUUAAGCAUGAAAGUACCCCCACAAGAAGCAUCAACCAUCUGACGGUUUCAUUCAGACAACUCGUCAUAAAAACAUUGCACUAAUUGCCAUUUGGGUAUUUGAUGAUGCGGGCAUUUUCGGAGUAAAUCUCUAAAUUUCUCUCAGGUUUCAUGAAAUUCUUCUCCGUCAGAUUGGGAGAAGCUCGUGAUAGCACGCCUAAAUUGGUUCGUUCUUCCUAUGAAAAAAUAUUUUUUUAGAAAUUCAUGUUGCAUUUGGGCCCAUGAAAGAAUGGAAUUGGCUUCUAAAGAAUGGAGCCACUGCUUAGCUCUAUUCUUAAGAGAGAAAGGGAACAACCUAAGUUUCAGAGUAUCAUCAGUGAAGUUCUGAAUUUUAACAGUAGUGCAGAUCUCAAGGAACUCAUCUAAAUGUUUGUAUGAGUCUUCAUUAUUGAGUCCAUAAAAAGAGGGAAGCAUUUGGCUGACACUAGACUUAAUUUCAAACUGCACAGCAGCAGUGGUAUCAGGUAGUCGAAUACAAGAUGGAGAGGUAUAAAUGGAAGGAGUAAAGUACUCUUUAACAGCUUGGGUUGUUCUUCAGCCAUCUCGAUAGGUGGAGCAGAUCUUAUGGUUCUAUAGGUACAAAUUUCGGCUCGAAGGGCCCUAAUAGAACGCUCUAUUUCAGAAUCAAAAGGUACUAAUUCAAGAGAUCUGGAACGACACCCUAGCAUACACUAAUACUUUUCUGAUCAGUCAAAUGCAGUCAAGCAUGCAUAAAAGAAAAACACAUCAAUUUCUUAUAUUUACCCUAAAAUCACUAGACAGCUCCUAACUGAUUUGAAGAGGGCACCUAAGCCUCCAAUCCGGUCUAAUGACUGAGUUGACCAGGUAAGCUCCUAGGUAAGUGGGGGGGUCACGAUGCGUUGGAAAGGUCCCUACUUAAAAACCACUUGCCUCGAACAGAUGAACUGUCUCCCUUGAGACAAAGCUUGUCUAGACAUCAACUGAGCCACAGAGCGAAAUUGGUGCAACUUUCGGUGAUCUUCGUCCUAUUGAGCUCGAAUGUCCCUAGGAGCCAACGUCUAAUUGAUUUUAAUUAAAGUGAUAGCUAUGUGCGAAUUGGUUCACCUAAUUUGGGCAAGAAUCUGGUGAUGAAAUCCAGUUCUUAUCUUGUUGGGGUGAUUGCCCUUACUAUGUGCGGAUUAAUUGGUAUAUGUGUAUCAAGCAUGCAUUCACACUUUUGCUGAAAUUAAAAUCAAACAAUCACCACAAAAUUUCAGGCUAGUUAGGAAUUGAUUUAAAUAAGAAAGGUUUAGAGGUUACCAAAGAAAACUUUUCCAGCAAAUUUUUUAUUUUAAAGCAAACCUCUACAGCAUUCCUUUUCCACCAGUUCCCUUUUUGAUCGUCCCAAAUUUUUUCUUCGAUUCCUGAUCAAAUAAUACCAAAAGAAAAAUCAAAAAUUAGUAAAAGAGAGAAAGAAGAUAAGGAAAGUAACAAAAAUAGAAAAUAUUUCUAUUUUAUUUUAGAUAUAUAUAUUGUUAUUUUUAUUAUUAUUUUUUUAAAAAAAAUUUAUGAAAAAAACAACUAUGCUAGCAAUCCCCGGCAACGGCGCCAAAAAUUGAUAGUCAACUUUAAAGACCACGCAAUAGCACGUAUCUGGUAGAAUAGUGAUUACGGGUAUCGAUCCACAGGGAUUGGGGUACAGUUGUUUUCUUAAAAAAAUAUUUAAAAGAAAAAGUUUGUGAAGAAAAUUGAACUGAGAAAUUUAAUUAAAAAAUGCAAUUAAAAGGAUAUCAGUUUGAGGGAACCUAGGGCAAGGAAUUCACCACUAACAUCGGAACAAAGAUUAUUUGUAUUUUAAUCUAUUCUUAGAUUAACAUGCAAAUUGGCUACAAGCCUAAUAAGCAUUUAAAUAGAAAUUCACGAAAGUAAUUUGGAAAUAAUCCAUCUUCAGUUGGCAUGAAAUGUCUAUCCUAAACUAAUGUGGCAGGACACUGCAUCUUCCAUAAGCAUGAACUAUCUUAUAUUUACUUAGUGAUCAUGAAGAACAGUUGUACGAACAUCAUACUUAAAAUCACAGAAAUUAAAUAUGAUUCAAAAGAAGAUAUCCAUUAAAAAUAAUAAGUUCAUACAACCUCAAGAAUAUAAAAUAAAAUAUAAAACCCGUGUCCCUUUGUUAGGACUGCAUCCGGCCCUGGAAAGGAAAUCAGCCUUCCAUGAAGUUGUGGACGAUGGCAGUGAAAAAGGAUGAAGAUGGCAUGGUUAGUGUCUUCAGUCGGAGAAGGAAGCGUGAUGAGGCGAUGGUAGAAGAAGCUCUGUUUCCCCCCUCCCUUCCUUUGUUUCAUUUCUUUUUUUCUUUCCAUGGAAAGUCUUCCCAUGAUACCCAAACUUUUCUCUCCCUCUAGUCUAAGGUGGGAACUUGGCCUGUGAAGCUCCAUGUGAAGCUCCCUCCUUUUAUAGCUGCAAUCUCCUCCUCUCUCCUCUGUUCCGAAUGAAGGAUUAAGAUGAACAAAAGUGGGAUAAGGCAUAUGACUUCUAUCCCUUGAUCCUCGGAUGUGGGAGUUAUCUUGCGGAUGAUGAUUUGAGUCUAUCCGUGGCUGAUGGAGCUUGAUUUUCCUGCUGGCGAGAACACGGGAUGCAUGCGAACGGUGGACACUGCGGACUUGUUGCAGUCGUGGGAUGAGGAUGCAGGGGAUUUGGAGAUGCUGCCGUUGGCUGUUGACGUGGAUGCAGUGGGGUAAGGGAAGGGACAUGCGGAACAGGGGAAGGAGGCUGCGGAUGUUUGAGAGGAAUCUUGGGGCUCGGCUGGCAGCUUGGAUGCCGAGAUUUGCUGGGGUGCUGUUCACAGGGGAGAUGAAGACCGGAUUGUUGUAGAUGCUGGGAGUUUGGAUGAACUUGGACGUUGGAAGAUUCCAUGGGAUACUCGGUCGCGGAGGAAAUCUGGGAGAAGAAGGAUGAAUUCUUGAAUUAGCAGGGAACAGAGGAUUCGGAUAAGGCUUGGAUGAUGAUCCUUGGGGCUCGGAUGGCAAGGAUUCGCUGGAGAAUUAAGAAUGGGAGGGAGUUUGGGACUUAUCCAAAGCAGACGGUGGAAUGUUUGAGAGGAUUGGGUCAUGGAAAGAAGGAAAUGGCUGGGAGAUGUAGAUGGGCUCUGUUUGGUAGAGAGACGUGGGAAGGAUGCAGAGCAUUUCGAAAGGGAUAAAGCUGGAUCUUUUUCGUGGAUGAAGGAGUCGGGGGUCACGGGCGGAUGNNNNNNNNNNNNNNNNNNNNCGUGUGAUCUGAGAGGAUGCGUCUGGAGUAAGCCGGGCGAUGUGAUUCGGAGGGACGUUUGAAGAAGUUGGCUUGGCUGAUCCGUGGGUUGAGGAUGAACUCGGAACAAGAUGAGAGCUGGUAGAUCUGAGAGGUUUGGGAUGUUGGAUUUGGUUCGGUUGUUAGCUUUGUUUCAGAACAAGGGAAGAGGAGGAAUCCGUGGGUGAUGAAGUUAAUCCGGAUGUUGGCUUGGCUCGGAAGGACAGUGACGUGGCUGGGAGGAAGAAACGGAUUCGUGAAGGAAAGUUGAGGAAGAAACAGAUGCGCUUGGGAUGUUGAUCCACGGGAUACUCGGACGCGGAGGGGAUGAAGCUGGGACGGCUAGGAGAUAAACCGGAAGAAAAGGAUGGCUUGAAAACGAUGGAGAUGGCUGAGAACAGAGGAGUUUGUUCGUGGGGAUAUCGACUGAGAGAUGGAAUACAAUCCAUGAACCGAGAGGAUCUCGGCUGGGAGGAGAUCUUUGGACGCCGUGUUUGCUGGUCCGUGAUGUUCGGGAGGAUGAAGUCGCAUCAUGGGAUGAAUGCGGUUGCUGGGUUCAUGCGGACGGAAGGGAGGAUGAAGUUGAGGAGGGAUUUGCGGACGUUGAGACUUGAUGGAUGCUGAAAGGGAUGAAGGCGGAUAAGAUUGGGAAGGAUGACACGAUUGGAACGAAUCUGGGAGGUGAUCUAAUCUGGGAGAUGAUCCAAAAGAUGAAGCUUGGGGACUCAGCUGAGAGCUGGGAUAGCUUGCGGUUGAGAUGAACUUGAAUAUGGCUUGGUUCGUGGGAGAGCAAUGGGCGUGUGGGAUGAUGUGUGAAUGGUUGCCUGGGAAGCG